rnacentral:rRNA from 1 species
GACGAACGCUGGCGGCGUGCUUAACACAUGCAAGUCGAACGGAAAGGUCCUGCUUUUGUGGGGUGCUCGAGUGGCGAACGGGUGAGUAACACGUGAGUAACCUGUCCUUGACUUUGGGUUAACUUCAGGCAACUGGGGCUAAUACCGGCUAGGAGUUCCUGCUGCAUGGUGGGGGUUGGAAAGUUUCGGUGGUUGGGGAUGGACUGGCGGCGCAUCAGCUUGUUGGUUUGGUAGUGGCUUACCAAGGCCUUGAACGGUAGCCGGCCUGAGCGGGGGACCGGCCACAUUGGGACUGAGAUGCGACCCAGACUCGUACGGGAGGCAGCAGUGGGGAAUAGUGUACAAUGGGCGGAGGCCUAAUGCAGCAACGCCGCGUGGGGGAUGACGGCCAUCGGGUAGUAUACCGCAUUCGCCUUAGACGAAGCGUGAGUGACGGUAAUGGGUAAAGAAGCACCGGCUAACUACGUG